UACGAAGGGGGCUAGCGUUGCUCGGAAUUACUGGGCGUAAAGCGCACGUAGGCGGUCUUUUAAGUCGGGGGUGAAAUCCUGGAGCUCAACUCCAGAACUGCCUUCGAUACUGGAAGACUCGAGUCCGGGAGAGGUGGAGUGGAACUGCGAGUGUAGAGGUGAAAUUCGUAGAUAUUCGCAAGAACACCAGUGGCGAAGGCGGACUCACUGGCCCGGUACUCGACG
rnacentral:rRNA from 1 species